rnacentral:rRNA from 1 species
UACGGGGGGGGCAAGCGUUGUUCGGAAUUACUGGGCGUAAAGGGCUCGUAGGUGGCCAACUAAGUCAGACGUGAAAUCCCUCGGCUUAACCGGGGAACUGCGUCUGAUACUGGAUGGCUGGAGUUUGGGAGGGGGAUGCGGAAUUCCAGGUGUAGCGGUGAAAUGCGUAGAUAUCUGGAGGAACACCGGUGGCGAAGGCGGCAUCCUGGACCAACACUGACGCUGAGGAGCGAAAGCCAGGGGAGCAAACGGG